UAUGGAAGAAAAGGCUUUUUGAUUUACUAUGGAACUGUUUAUGGAUAAGAGUUAUUUCUCUUGGCCUGGUACCUGUUCCCAAGGCUUGAUCACAUUUCAAGGCGCUGCUGCCAUUUACUCAAAAAGUCUAGGUCCUCACAUGUUUGUGGGCACAUGGCUGUCUGCGCACAGUCAUCUGAAUACAGCUGGGAAGCUGCAGCCAGGUUGUUGACUGCAAAGUGCAAAUGAAGGGAAACUGAAAUCUCCCUCCAGCCCUGCCUCACUUCCUUGCUUCAUGAUUUGAAGCGUCGGGAUGGCUAUGUCAGUUGGGAAAAGGACCGAGGGUCACAGCUCAAUGAAAAAGAAAAAAAAAAAAAUCCUUAGUUUAGCGUGGACAAGUUUGAAAACAUCGUGUGGAUGGAAAGCUCUAUUUCUGUUUGCAAAUAGGAUGCUGCUGUGUCUAUUUCUUGUGGUGGAGUCCUUUAUAAGAAAGAAAGCCCUAGCGGUAUGGGAAGGUCAGAUUGGGGGUGAUCGUUCUCCCUCUAGCUUUUCAGAUGUCACAACCAGAUGAAGGAUAAUUUAAGAAGCCCCGAGCUGGGUGAUGGGUCUUGCAGAGCUGCUUGUCUGUUGGACCUGGAGGAAAGCUUAUCCCGGGCAAGGUAAUUUACGACAGAAGACACAGGCGCAGCUCCCUGCAGGCAGCACAACUGAAGUCCUCUGAAGAACUCCUGCUUUAUUGGAGAGAGCUGUAAGGCUGAAGACAGGAUAACUUAUGGCUUUCCAGUGGCUUUCCCCUUUCUCCUCUUCCUUGUUGUGAUUGUUAUUUAUUAUUUGUGGGCAGGGAUGAGAGGGUUCACUUUGCCAACUUUUGAACCCUCUCUAAAUUCAUGGCUCUGAGUCUUGAACCGUCCCUGAACCUUACUGUGCUUGAGUCCCUAUUCUUUUAGCAUCCUUUCAGCUUCCCGUUGUGGACGGAGAAAGACUCUGGAAGGUUUAUUUUAAAAGGUGGAAAUAAUUCCUUAAACAUCAAAUAGCUCUUUUAAAAAAGGCAGCCUGUUUUGAGGAGUCAAGUGUAAAUGAAUUGAAAACAUAUGCUCCAGAUCUCCCCCAGUUUAUGCAGCAAGUUCAUGGCUGAAUUACUAAUAGGGCUUCACUGGAUUCAGAGCUGAGAUGAAACAACGGGCAGGGGAUGGGCCAGGCACAUUAGUUCUCUCGGUCUCUACUGCUUUGUUCCUUAUUUAAUAUAAAAUGGGCUUUAGUUGAGCUCUGAAAGCUGGAGUGAAGAGGAGGAGACAUUUAUAAGCAGUAUUUUGCCAAGUAAGAAAUCUGUAUUAGGAAAGAGCAUUUUGGCAGAGGAUUUAAAUUCUUGGUUUAAUGGCUGUAACAUUAGGAGGCAGAGAGAACUUUGAAAUCCGGGCUGUCUAACUCUCCACUCGGCUGAAGCCCUUCUCAUCACCUUCACACCCGCAGCUAAUUUGGCGCUUCCUUCCACCCUGCAAGGCCUGUCCUUAGGAACCCUGAGAGGUUAUUUGGGUCUAGUACUUUCUAUGGCCAAUUGCCUUAAAUAUGUCUUUUUGAAAGGGCGCCCUGCAGAUAGAGACAGCUGAAGCGAGGCAGCCUGGGCUAACAGAAGGACAGCCCAAGAAAUUCUGCUCUUCCCCUGGUCCCCAUGCUCAGGGCUGCCCAGUGCUGCUCCCACCUUGGACCAGUGUGGCCAUAGCACAGACUGUUGGGAAUCGGGGUGCAAGAAACGUCUGCUGACUGGGUAUCCCAGCGGCUGGACAACAGUGCUCAUCGGAUCCUAGUGGAUGGCACCCUGUAAUGCGUGGCCCUGAGGCCCUGAACCAGACAGAGCCUUGCAAGGAAUGUUAACUUUUGCUGCUAACAUCCCUCUGUCCAUGCUUGGGGGAAACCACUUGCCAUGUCCCAUGUGUCUGCCAUGUUUCCCCACAUGGCAAAGAUGGGCUUGCCUUUUGCCACACACCUUGCGGCCUAGAUGUGGGGCAGAUGAGAAAUCCCACAAAGAGCCUAUGGAUCCUCAGUUGAAAGUCAAGUGCCCACAUGAAGUACCAGGCACUAGACUGGUGAAAGGUGUUUGUAGCAUCAGAGCUCAGGGGAAAGUAGAUAGGCUUUGCAUGCAGUUAGCAAGCAGCUCCAAACACGCUUUCUACUUCUUUGUGGAGACGAAAACACAGUUGUUACAAGUUACUUUGUGAUGACAGAGUGUGCUGAAAAGGAACUGCCAAGAAAACCCGUUGGCCCAGCCCGGGCCCUUGGGUCCCAUGGCCAGCUGGGAUUAUCUAAAGUGGGCGUCCUUAGAGAAAGCAGGAAUUCUCUUCCACCACAGACUGUUGAAACCUCCCCAUUCAACUGUUUUAAAAGCUGCAGAGAAUUAAAAAUAGAAGCUUUCUGGAGGGAGGAGAGGGUCCUUUGGGGGCACUUUGUUUGCUUUGGUUUCUAUCUCCCUCCCUGGAAUGCGGCGAAAACCUGGAGAAGCCAGCACUCAAAGAAGGCCUUGCAGAGAAACGAAACCCCCUCACGCCAGAAUGAAGGUUAUCGCUGUGUCCCCAUGUGCUCAUCGCUCUCUCGCUCUCACAUCACAGGGUAUCAGGGAUAUGACUGACCUGGAAGGACUCCGUUGUUACACACAGCGUCAGGAAAAAUCAUGAAACACUUUGUGGCAGAUGAAAGAGAAGUUACUGACUGUCCUUUCUGAUGCAUCCAUGCAUUUAUCUCUGUUUUUCCUUGUUUUCCAGCUUUUUUAUAAUUCUGCAAGUUGUAGAAAACUAACAAUAAUGAAAAUGACUCUUAUCUAUAGAUGUGCAAAUUACUCGUGUCUAGUGGAAUAGUUGAUCAUUGCUGUCUGUAUGGAUAGACCCUUUUGCCAUUCUAUGUACACUUAUCUCAGUAUGCCUUAUUGCCCAUAUAUGUGAGAUUCCUUGAAUUUUGACCCCAUGGCAAAACAUCUUAUGUCCCCUCAUUAACUAAUGAGUUAAAAAAAAAAACUUUGACACAAGUUCUUUUUAUAUUCUUAGAAGAGUCACGAUUUUAUCUUUUUAAAUAAUCCUAGAGAACUGAGGCAUCCAUGGUCAUCAGGAUUAACCACCGUGUCUCUCUUUCCCCUCUCAUUCCCAGCCACUCCUGUGGUCCCCAUGGUAGUAGGACUGAUACCCGGUGAUGAGAUGGAGAAUGAGUUUUUCUAUAGGAAGUGUUUCACCUGAUAGCCAUGUGAACACUACUCGACAUAGAGCAAGCUACAAUGUGGGUUAUUCUGAAUUACGUGGGCCAGCCAGGGAAUCCUCCCACCCAGUGGAAUAUUUGAUUUUAAGAGAGACAUGCUGAGUUCCAAAUAAUGAAAGAGAAACUUAACAUACAACACAUCGGUAAGGGGUCCAUGAUAAACAUCAUGCACCCAGGGCAUAAAAUCCCUGAAUUUAAUGGCAAAACAUAUAUAAAAGAAAGUGGGUUGUUAUGAGGUUUUGUCCUCCCCACCUCUUUUCUUUAUUUGUUUUGCUUUAUAAAACCAGCCUCAUUCUUAUUUUACCUGAUUGUCAUUUUUUUUUUCAACAAGAGCUGGUUACCUUCAAAGCAAGGCCUGACAAGAUGACCCAGACACAUCAGUAUUUAUUUCACACAUCCAUUGAUUUCUAUGAAUAGAAUUGAUUUUAAUAAACAUAAACAAACUAAAAACAUAAAAUAGGUGAUUUCACACACCCCUUUCUACGAAAUUUGGAAAUACUGCACUUGGAAUGUAUAUGUUUUGUUUCUUCUCCUUACCUUUAUUUUUUUUUAAGAAGUUGGCUUUUAUUAGCAGAAAGAUCAUUAAAUUUUGUGAGUAUUGGCCUCUAGCAUUUAAGUUUUUACAGAACACAUGAACGUUUACUGGUUUCACCAGCGGAGACGCAUGAUUUUUAUGUAUCUGUAAUUCUGAAAGGGAAACAUUCCCUCUACAAACGCAGAGCAGUCCACUUAUAAAAUUUAUGUUUGUGGGCUCUUUUCUUAUAUAAAGCAGCCACCUUGGAGACUCCAUUUAAACAAUUAAACAAUAUUCUCACCUAUAUAACCUGCCCAUAUGUAAUUAUUUUCUUUUUUGGUUCUUUGGUAAAUAACACAAGAGGCUUUGUGGCAUGAGGAAAUUCCUUGACCCGGGUAUUUUCAACACCAUAAUUUGCUUGGUGAAAAUGAAAACCAAAGAAUGCCUUUUUUUAUAUAUAUAAUUUUUGGUUGUUUGAAAUUAAUUUUCGACAUUUAAAUUGGCUGGGAGAGGCUUUCAAUUUUUUAUUCUAAGAAAUACUUUUAAAAAUUGUUAAUAAGAAAGAGUAUGAAUUUAUGCAACUAUUUGCUUCAGAAUAAGAUAAUGUCUUUCAAAAAGUUGAUUUAUUUGAGAACCUUUCAUCAAAUUUAAAAGAUCUUUAUGUGCUUUUGAUGUAUGUUAUAAAAGAGUUUUGAUAUAUCUUAAUUCUCAAUAAAAUGGGGAAGAAAUGCUG